CCAGACUCCUACGGGAGGCAGCAGUGAGGAAUAUUGGUCAAUGGGCGGGAGCCUGAACCAGCCAAGUCGCGUGAGGGAAGACGGUCCUAUGGAUUGUAAACCUCUUUUGUCAGGGAGCAACGCCGGCUACGUGUAGCCGGACUGAGAGUACCUGAAGAAAAAGCAUCGGCUAACUCCGUGCCAGCAGCCGCGGUAAUACGGAGGAUCCGAGCGUUAUCCGGAUUUAUUGGGUUUAAAGGGAGCGUAGAUGGGUUGUUAAGUCAGUUGUGAAAGUUUGCGGCUCAACCGUAAAAUUGCAAUUGAUACUGGCAGUCUUGAGUACAGUUGAGGUAGGCGGAAUUCGUGGUGUAGCGGUGAAAUGCUUAGAUAUCACGAAGAACUCCGAUUGCGAAGGCAGCUUACUAAACUGCCACUGACAUUGAUGCUCGAAAGUGUGGGUAUCAAACAGGAUUAGAUACCCGCGUAAAU
rnacentral:rRNA from 1 species